CGUCUACAUUAGAUACCCGCGUAGUCCAGGGUGUAAACGCUGCAGACUUGGUGUUGGAGGCCCUUUGGGGGCAUUCAGUGCCGGAGAGAAGUUGUUAAGUCUGCUACUUGGGGAGUACGUCCGCAAGGAUGAAACUUAAAGGAAUUGGCGGGGAGCACCGCAACGGGAGGAGCGUGCGGUUUAAUUGGAUUCAACACCGUAAAACUCACCAGGGAAGACUGUUACAUGAAGGCCGAGAUGAAGACUCUGCUAGAUUUUCAG
rnacentral:rRNA from 1 species